rnacentral:misc_RNA from 1 species
GAAAUGCGAUACGUAAUGUGAAUUGCAAAUUCAGUGAAUCAUCGAGUCUUUGAACGCACAUUGCGCCCCCUGGUAUUCCGGGGGGCAUGCCUGUCCGAGCGUCAUUUCUGCCCUCAAGCACGGCUUGUGUGUUGGGCCCCGUCCUCCGAUCCCGGGGGACGGGCCCGAAAGGCAGCGGCGGCACCGCGUCCGGUCCUCGAGCGUAUGGGGCUUUGUCACCCGCUCUGUAGGCCCGGCCGGCGCUUGCCGAUCAACCCAAAUUUUUAUCCAGGUUGACCUCGGAUCAGGUAGGGAUACCCGCUGAACUUAAG